UACGUAGGGGGCAAGCGUUGUCCGGAAUUAUUGGGCGUAAAGAGCGUGUAGGCGGUCCGGUAAGUCAGCUGUGAAAGUCAAGGGCUCAACCCUUGAAAGCCGGUUGAUACCAUCAGGCUAGAGUCCGGAAGAGGAGAGCGGAAUUCCUGGUGUAGCGGUGAAAUGCGCAGAUAUCAGGAAGAACACCCGUGGCGAAGGCGGCUCUCUGGGACGGUACUGACGCUGAGACGCGAAAGCGUGGGGAGCGAACAGG
rnacentral:rRNA from 1 species